ACCUGGGUGGUGUAAACAGUUAACUUGCUCAGCUGCAAACUGAAAGGUUGGAGGUUCGAAUCCACCCAGAGGUG
rnacentral:tRNA from 1 species